CGAAGGGGCGUAGCGUUACUCGGAAUGACUGGGGCGUAAAGGGCGCGUAGGCGGCAUCGACAGUCAGGCGUGAAAUUCCUGGGCUUAACCUGGGGGCUGCGUUUGAUACGUCGGAGCUAGAGGAUGGAAGAGGCUCGUGGAAUUCCCAGUGUAGAGGUGAAAUUCGUAGAUAUUGGGGAAGAACACCGGUGGCGAAGGCGGCGAGCUGGUCCAUUACUGACGCUGAGGCGCGAAAGCGUGGGGAGCAAACAGGAUU
rnacentral:rRNA from 1 species